CGUUCGAGACAUUGGUUUCUCGCUGGUGGAGGUGCGAAAGCUUCUUUAGCAGUGGGUUUCGCUUGCGGCAGUGGCGCCUUUGCAGUGAAGUCGCGUUCACACCACAACGGCGACUUGCUUUCCCUUUCAUGGCUAUUGCGUUUCUAGUUUUCUUGCAGGUCUGGGUGGUUCGUUCCAAAUACUAUGUCGCGCCAGAUUUCAACAGUAGAUCGAUCGUCCUGUCCGCGCUGAACAUCGCCCCUCGGACCUCCCA
rnacentral:lncRNA from 1 species